rnacentral:rRNA from 1 species
AACGAACGCUGGCGGCAUGCCUAACACAUGCAAGUCGAACGAGACCUUCGGGUCUAGUGGCGCACGGGUGCGUAACGCGUGGGAACCUGCCCUUAGGUUCGGAAUAACUCCCCGAAAGGGGUGCUAAUACCGGAUAAUGUCUUCGGACCAAAGAUUUAUCGCCUUUGGAUGGGCCCGCGUUGGAUUAGCUAGUUGGUAGGGUAAAGGCCUACCAAGGCGACGAUCCAUAGCUGGUCUGAGAGGAUGAUCAGCCACACUGGGACUGAGACACGGCCCAGACUCCUACGGGAGGCAGCAGUGGGGAAUAUUGGACAAUGGGCGAAAGCCUGAUCCAGCAAUGCCGCGUGAGUGAUGAAGGCCUUAGGGUUGUAAAGUUCUUUUACCCGGGAUGAUAAUGACAGUACCGGGAGAAUAAGCUCCGGCUAACUCCGUG